CCUACGGGAGGCAGCAGUGGGGAAUUUUGGACAAUGGGCGCAAGCCUGAUCCAGCAAUGCCGCGUGCAGGAUGAAGGCCUUCGGGUUGUAAACUGCUUUUGUACGGAACGAAACGGCGAACUCUAAUAAAGUUUGCUAAUGACGGUACCGUAAGAAUAAGCACCGGCUAACUACGUGCCAGCAGCCGCGGUAAUACGUAGGGUGCGAGCGUUAAUCGGAAUUACUGGGCGUAAAGCGUGCGCAGGCGGUUAUAUAAGACAGAUGUGAAAUCCCCGGGCUCAACCUGGGACCUGCAUUUGUGACUGUAUAGCUAGAGUACGGUAGAGGGGGAUGGAAUUCCGCGUGUAGCAGUGAAAUGCGUAGAUAUGCGGAGGAACACCGAUGGCGAAGGCAAUCCCCUGGACCUGUACUGACGCUCAUGCACGAAAGCGUGGGGAGCAAACAGGAUUAGAUACCCUGGUAGUCCACGCCCUAAACGAUGUCAACUGGUUGUUGGGUCUUCACUGACUCAGUAACGAAGCUAACGCGUGAAGUUGACCGCCUGGGGAGUACGGCCGCAAGGUUGAAACUCAAAAGAGUAGUACGGCGUGNGAGAGCGACGACGACGACGACGGAGGGAGGAGG
rnacentral:rRNA from 1 species